GGAAAAGAAACCAACCGGGAUUCCCGAGUAAGGGCGACUGAACGGGAACAGCCCAGCGCAUAACCUCGCGGUCCAAAGCCGGCCGUCGAGGGGUGUUGCGUUUCGGUGGAUCCGUCCCGCUCGAGCCGCUCACCGCCUAAGUCAUUGCUUGAAAGCAGCCCCAAGGAGGGUGACAGGCCCGUGUGGCGGCGCCCGUAAAAAGGGUGUAGGCGGCCCGGGCGGAGGGAUCUUCACCGUAGAGUCGGGUUGCUUAGUACUGCAGCCCUAAGCAGGUGGUAAACUCCAUCUAAGGCUAAAUACAACCACGAGUCCGAUAGGUGACAAGUACCGUGAGGGAAAGCUGAAAAGGACUUUGAAGAGAGAGUUAACAAGGACGUGAAACCGUUAGAAGCCUAAACGGGUGGAACUGCGAUGAUCGAACGAUGGGAUUCAGCCCGCGGGCCUCGGGCGCACGGGGCGGUACAUAGACAUUACCGUGAGAGGACCCGGCGUGAAUUGGGAUUGCCGUGGCCCCGCCCCUGCUCUCCCGAGUGCUCCCGCGGGCUUAAUUCACCAUCUAGUAGGCGUCGCCGCGACUCGUUGCGGGGACCCCCAGGGCCGUGUCGGACUGGUAGCCCGGUCCCCCGUGUCCAGGUGAUGACCGACUGCGGUGCCGACUCCGGGCCCCCGCGACGAUUACUGCCAGGAGGCGCUGCUGCUGCUGCUGCUGCCGCCGC
rnacentral:rRNA from 1 species